UAUUCUCAGACUGCUAUAAAUUAUGCCUUUUUAUAUACUGUGACUAUUGUAAUCACCUAUAUGUAUCUUCUAAUUAUUCUUGUGUGAGGAAAUGGGCUUUUUAGUCUUUCCUGGGUUAUCAUUUGUUCCUUCCACCACAAUUACUCAUUUCAGAACUGGAUUUAAUAGGAGGUUCAUCACUCUGAGAAUGCCCCAGGGUAGGAAUUUUUCUCCAACAAGCCUAUAGGAAGACUUCGCUAGUUUGACCAAGUUACGUUUCAAAAAUGCUAAGUUUACCCAGCAGAGCUGAGUUCAGUAGCAGUUGAGUGGUUGUUUAACGUUCCUUAAAUUUAGUAGGGGAUUUGACUGAAGGGAACGGCCCCAGAGGUAGUGAUUUAAUUAAUUAAUUAAUUUGAAACCCCAACUAUGCCCCAUUAUGACCUGUACUGGGAUAGUGGAGCUUGAUAUUGAUAAGCAUUUUAUACCUUGCCAGCGAAUUGGAUCACAAGAGGUUGCUCAUGAGUUUUUGCUUACAUGUGUAGUAGGAGACUAGGAGCUCAAAAUGUCACGAAAAGCUAUCAGUAUUGUUCAUGGUGGUGGACGAAACUCUGGAUGCUAUAUUUGGAGAUGUUGAUAACAUUUCCCCAAGACUAGAUAUAUUAUCAACUCUUUAUUUCCCUUGGCACUACUUAAUGUGACACCAGUAUAUUUCUAGAAUGACAUUCCUGUCAAAUUAUUAAC